AUUGAACGCUGGCGGCAGGCCUAACACAUGCCAGUCGAGCGGAUGAAGGGAGCUUGCUCCUGGAUUCAGCGUCGGACGGGUGAGUAAUGCCUAGGAAUCUGCCUGGUAGUGGGGGAUAACGUCCUGAAACGGGCGCUAAUACCGCAUACGUCCUGAGGGAGAAAGUGGGGGAUCUUCGGACCUCACGCUAUCAGAUGAGCCUAGGUCGGAUUAGCUAGUUGGUGGGGUAAAGGCCUACCAAGGCGACGAUCCGUAACUGGUCUGAGAGGAUGAUCAGUCACACUGGAACUGAGACACGGUCCAGACUCCUACGGGAGGCAGCAGUGGGGAAUAUUGGACAAUGGGCGAAAGCCUGAUCCAGCCAUGCCGCGUGUGUGAAGAAGGUCUUCGGAUUGUAAAGCACUUUAAGUUGGGAGGAAGGGCAGUAAGUUAAUACCUUGCUGUUUUGACGUUACCAACAGAAUAAGCACCGGCUAACUUCGUG
rnacentral:rRNA from 1 species